UGAGGAAUAUUGGUCAAUGGGCGGGAGCCUGAACCAGCCAAGCCGCGUGAGGGAGGAAGGCCCUAUGGGUCGUAAACCUCUUUUGUCAGGGAACAAAAGCGAGUAUGUAUACUAGUCUGAGUGUACCUGAAGAAAAAGCAUCGGCUAACUCCGUGCCAGCAGCCGCGGUAAUACGGAGGAUGCGAGCGUUAUCCGGAUUUAUUGGGUUUAAAGGGUGCGUAGGCGGCGGUGCAAGUCAGCGGUAAAAGCCCGGGGGCUCAACCCCGGCGAGCCGUUGAAACUGCAGUGCUAGAGAAGGCGAGAGGUACGCGGAAUGCGCAGUGUAGCGGUGAAAUGCUUAGAUAUUGCGCAGAACUCCGAUUGCGAAGGCAGCCUACCGGCUCCACACUGACGCUGAGGCACGAAAGCGUGGGUAUCGAACAGGAUUAGAUACC
rnacentral:rRNA from 1 species